rnacentral:rRNA from 1 species
ACGGGGCCCGCACAAGCAGCGGAGCAUGUGGUUUAAUUCGAAGCAACGCGAAGAACCUUACCUAGACUUGACAUCUCCUGAAUUACCCGUAACUGGGGAAGCUCUUCGGAGCAGGAAGACAGGUGGUGCAUGGUUGUCGUCAGCUCGUGUCGUGAGAUGUUGGGUUAAGUCCCGCAACGAGCGCAACCCUUAUCGUUAGUUGCUACCAUUAAGUUGAGCACUCUAGCGAGACUGCCCGGGUUAACCGGGAGGAAGGUGGGGAUGACGUCAAAUCAUCAUGCCCCUUAUGUCUAGGGCUACACACGUGCUACAAUGGUGAGGACAAAGAGACGCAAGACCGCGAGGUGGAGCAAAUCUCACAAACCUCAUCCCAGUUCGGAUUGCAGGCUGAAACUCGCCUGCAUGAAGCCGGAGUUGCUAGUAAUCGCGAAUCAGCAUGUCGCGGUGAAUACGUUCCCGGGCCUU